rnacentral:rRNA from 2 species
UGGGGAAUUUUGCACAAUGGGCGCAAGCCUGAUGCAGCGACGCCGCGUGAGGGAUGAAGGCCUUCGGGUUGUAAACCUUUUUCGCUCAUGGUCAAGCCGCAGCUUUGGGUUGUGGUGAGGGUAGUGGGUAAAGAAGCGCCGGCUAACUACGUGCCAGCAGCCGCGGUAAUACGUAGGGCGCAAGCGUUAUCCGGAAUUAUUGGGCGUAAAGAGCUUGUAGGCGGUUCGUCGCGUCUGGUGUGAAAGCCCAUCGCUUAACGGUGGGUUUGCGCCGGGUACGGGCGGGCUAGAGUGCAGUAGGGGAGACUGGAAUUCCCGGUGUAACGGUGGAAUGUGUAGAUAUCGGGAAGAACACCAAUGGCGAAGGCAGGUCUCUGGGCUGUUACUGACGCUGAGAAGCGAAAGCGUGGGGAGCGAACAGG